GUAAUGCACUGUGUUUGUGUCUGCAUUGUCCAGACUCAGGCUUUGCCCAUGAUGGAGCUGGACUGAACACAACUAAGAUGUAAUGAUUGGCACGACGGACCAAUGACGGCCUAGGAGCUAGCAGGGACUGCGGAGUGAACCUUGCUUAGGAACCACUUCAUGUAGAGUCCUCAACAGGAGAGUCCACAGCAUUUGCUUUGUCAUCAUCCUUUUCUUUACUGUGGCUACUGUAAUACUUGUCGGAAUAGUCAACAUGAUGGUAAGCAUGUCGUUCAGGGUCAUCGAUAGGAAGUUCCUCAUCGUGGUCUUGCUCAAAGUCAGUCAGCUCUUUAGGGUAUGGGCACUGAAGACACCUUGUAUAGAAAGAUACUCCUAAUUGUCACUACCUGAUUGCAAUGGACAUAAUUUACAAUAAAUAACUUCCUCAAAACAAAA